GACGAACGCUGGCGGCGUGCUUAACACAUGCAAGUCGAACGGAGUGGCGAACGGGUGAGUCACACGUGGGUGACCUGCCCUGCACUUCGGUAUAAGCCUGGGAAACUGGGUCUAAUACCGGAUAGUGUGGGAUGGGCCCGCGGCCUAUGUGCUUGGUGGUGGGGUACUGUCCUACCAAGGCGGCGACGGGUAGCCGGCCUGAGAGGGUGGCCGGCCACAUUGGGACUGAGACACGGCCCAGACUCCUACGGGAUGCAGCAGUGGGUAAUAGUGCACAAUGGGCGGAAGCCUGAUGCAGCGACGCCGCGUGGGGGAUGACGGCCUUAGGGUUGUAAACUCCUUUCACCAUCGACGCGGUAGAUGGAGAAGAAGCACCGGCUAACUACGUGCCAGCAGCCGCGGUAAUUA
rnacentral:rRNA from 1 species